CACAUUAAAACUACCUAUUUCAGCUACAAAUAAUAGUGGCAAGACAACACAAUAAUCUGGCGCAUCAAAACAGAAAAAGACGAAGACAAUAAUAUGGAGGAAACAUGACAGCGAGCUGAGACGAGAACGGGCAAGGCGACAACGACCUCUUCCACACGAGCUCCGACUCGAGCAGCAACCAAGAAAUCCAAAUGAAACCAAACGAAGAAAACUUCCCAAAAAUUUAAGACUAUAGAAUUUGUCCAAGGAUUUCUUUGAAAAUGUACUAUGCCCUUUCUCAAUUUUCUUUCCCCACUUUUUCAAAUUUCUCCUCCCGAACCCAACAAUGAAGAAGAAGAGAGUUAUAUCGGGGAUUUUCUAGGGUUCGGAAUGGGGGGAAAAGGAUG
rnacentral:lncRNA from 1 species